GAUGAACGCUAGCGAUAGGCCUAACACAUGCAAGUCGAGGGGCAUCACAUGAAGUAGCAAUACGGAUGGUGGCGACCGGCGCACGGGUGAGUAACACGUAUGCAACCCGCCUUCAACAAGGGGAUAACCCGUUGAAAGACGGACUAAUACCCUAUAACACAGGGGUCCCGCAUGGGAAUAUUUGUUAAAGGACAACCGGUUGAAGAUGGGCAUGCGUUCCAUUAGCUAGUUGGCGGGGUAAGGGCCCACCAAGGCAACGAUGGAUAGGGGAACUGAGAGGUUUAUCCCCCACACUGGUACUGAGACACGGACCAGACUCCUACGGGAGGCAGCAGUGAGGAAUAUUGGUCAAUGGACGCAAGUCUGAACCAGCCACGUCGCGUGAAGGAAGACGGCCUACGGGUUGUAAACUUCUUUUGCAAGGGAAUAAAGUGGGCCACGUGUGGCCUUUUGCAAGUACCUUGCGAAUAAGG
rnacentral:rRNA from 1 species